CGACUCAAAAUCGAGUGGGAAAGUGCAAGGUUAAGGUGAAGAGCCGGAGCCGCAGCGAAAGCGAGUCUGAAUAGGGCGAAUGAGUACGUGGACGUAGACCCGAAACCGGGUGAUCUACCCCUGUCCAGGGUGAAGGUGCGGUAACACGCACUGGAGGCCCGAACCCACGCAUGUUGAAAAAUGCGGGGAUGAGGUGGGGGUAGCGGAGAAAUUCCAAUCGAACUCGGAGAUAGCUGGUUCUCCCCGAAAUAGCUUUAGGGCUAGCCUCGGAAAACAGAGUCGUGGAGGUAGAGCACUGAUUGGGUGCGGGGCCCGCAAGGGUUACCAAGCUCAGUCAAACUCCGAAUGCCAUAGACUUACUUCCGGGAGUCAGACAGUGAGUGCUAAGAUCCAUUGUCAAAAGGGAAACAGCCCAGACCAUCAGCUAAGGUCCCCAAGUGUGUGUUAAGUGGGAAAGGAUGUGGAGUUGCACAGACAACCAGGAUGUUGGCUUAGAAGCAGCCAUCAUUGAAAGAGUGCGUAAUAGCUCACUGGUCGAGUGACUCUGCGCCGAAAAUGUAACGGGGCUAAACACACCACCGAAGCUAUGGCUUGAUGCUUUGCAUCAGGGGUAGGGGAGCGUUGUAUAAGGGUUGAAGGUGUACCGUAAGGAGCGCUGGACAUUAUACAAGUGAGAAUGCCGGUAUGAGUAACGAAAAGAUCAGUGAGAAUCUGAUCCGCCGAAAGCCUAAGGGUUCCUGAGGAAGGCUCGUCCGCUCAGGGUAAGUCGGGACCUAAGGCGAGGCCGAAAGGCGUAGUCGAAGGACAACAGGUCGAAAUUCCUGUACCACCGUAAGCCGUUAUGAGCAAUGGGGGGACGCAGUAGGGUAGUGACGCGGACUGAUGGAUGUCCGUCUAAGCAGUAAGGCUGAUGUGUAGGCAAAUCCGCACAUUGUAAGGCUAAGCUGUGAUGGGGAGCGAAAAUUAUAGUAGCGAAGGUCAUGAUCUCACACUGCCAAGAAAAGCCUCUAGCCAGGUGAUGGUGCCCGUACCGCAAACCGACACAGGUAGGCGAGAAGAGUAUUCUAAGGCGCGCGGAAGAACUCUCGUUAAGGAACUCGGCAAAAUGACCCCGUAACUUCGGGAGAAGGGGUGCCCCGGUAGUGUGAAUAGCACGAGGGGGCCGCAGUGAAAAGGCCCAAGCGACUGUUUAGCAAAAACACAGGUCUGUGCGAAGCCGUAAGGCGAAGUAUACGGGCUGACGCCUGCCCGGUGCUGGAAGGUUAAGGGGAGUGGUUAGGAGCAAUCCGAAGCUGUGAACCGAAGCCCCAGUAAACGGCGGCCGUAACUAUAACGGUCCUAAGGUAGCGAAAUUCCUUGUCAGGUAAGUUCUGACCCG
rnacentral:rRNA from 1 species